rnacentral:rRNA from 1 species
CAGCAGCCGCGGGAAUACCAGCACCUCGAGUGGUCAGGAGGUUUAUUGGGCCUAAAGCAUCCGUAGCCGGUUGCAUAAGUUUUCGGUUAAAUCUAUGCGCUUAACGUAUAGGCCGCCGAAAAUACUGUGCAGCUAGGGAGUGGGAGAGGUACACGGUACUCGAUAGGAAGGGGUAAAAUCCUUUGAUCUAUUGAUGACCACCUGUGGCGAAGGCGGUGUACCAGAACACGUUCGACGGUGAGGGAUGAAAGCUGGGGGAGCAAACCGGAUUAGAUACCCCUGUAGUCCCUGUCUCUUAUAC